rnacentral:pre_miRNA from 1 species
ACCAGUUUGGUACCGAACCGGCUGAGUCGAAGAACAACUCGGCCAGUUCGGUACCAAACCGGU